UGGGAGAUCACGGGAAGAAGGAGCUGAGCAAAUAUGGUCUAAUUCUAGAUCUGGAAGGAGGCAUUUUAGAGGUAUAGAAACAUAGAGAAGAGUGCAGUUUGCCAGUAGUUCAGCCCACAGUGUAGUCCCACUGGAACUAGUUCACACUAAUGUGUGGAGAUCGAUCUCGAUUUUAGCCAAAAAUAUGGUGAGAUACUUGUUGACCUUCAUAUAUGAUUUUUU
rnacentral:lncRNA from 1 species